GUGAAGAAUAUUGCGCAAUGGACGAAAGUCUGACGCAGCCACGCCGCGUGGGUGAUGAAGGCCUUCGGGUCGUAAAGCCCUUUGAGCAGGGAAGAGCGGCCGCAGGGUGAACAAUCCUGUGGCGAGACGGUACCUGCAGAACAAGCACCGGCUAACUCCGUGCCAGCAGCCGCGGUAAGACGGGGGGUGCUAGCGUUGCUCGGAAUUACUGGGCGUAAAGCGUGUGUAGGCGGCUUGGUAAGCCAGAUGUGAAAUCCUACGGCUUAACCGUAGAAGUGCAUCUGGAACUGCCUGGCUAGAGUAUGGUAGAGGGCGGGGGAAUUCCCGGUGGAGCGGUGAAAUGCGUAGAUAUCGGGAGGAAUACCGGUGGCGAAGGCGCCCGCCUGGGCCAUUACUGACGCUCAGACACGAAAGCGUGGGGAGCAAACAGGAUUAGAAACCCCAGUAGUCC
rnacentral:rRNA from 1 species